GGCCAGGGAGAAGCAAGGGCCAGCUUCUUCUCCAAAGAAAGACAAAGCAGGAGGCAAAGGGGUCCCACCACCAGCAGGGCAGGAGUCUCACUAGCCAGGGCUCAGUCCCACAAGAUCUGGGUAGAGCAGACCCAGAGAUCACAGACAGCUCCAGCCAAGAACCCAGGUCAUAAGGCAAUGUCACGACUAUGAGGCAGGUUCAAAGACAAACAUCAAAGUCAAUUCACAUGUUAGAGCUAGCCUCAGGUCCAGUGAUCACAAGGCAGGGCCAAGGUCACACUAGGAGUCCUUGGCUAGGCAUGGACACAGCUGUGUUUGAGCUGGAGGCUGAAACAUCUCUGAUGCAGCACAGAGAGGGUCUGAAGGUCCAUGUCAGCUUAGAGCUCCUGCAUCCAUAGGUGUGGGUAGAGGCUCCAGGUGCAGCUGGUCAGGACCAUUAAAGGCUUAUAAGUGCACCCAGAGCCUUGUACCCACUCACUUAUGAGGAAAAGAGAUGGACCUGGAGACAAGACUACCAGGCUUUGGUCUGAGGUCCAUCAGGAAGCAGGCCUGGAGACAGGCACCUACCGCAUGCUUCUGGCAGAGACUGAAAUGCCAAGUCUCAGCUGAUACGGGCUUUUGCUGUGGGCAACAGUCUUGGCUUGAGGAGUUUCACAUAAUUUCUUGAUGAUUAACAUAAAAUUGCUGUUGUUGAUUCAGGUAUUGAAAAAAAACAAUGUGACAAACUAUGAAACAGACCUUUCAUCCCACUUCCCCACACUCAACUUCAGUCCAAAACCUCUCUUUCUCUGCUUCCUAGUUUUCUGCUUUCUUGUGACACUCAGUGCUUCCCAGUCUACUUGGUGAAGAAGCAGCAGGCAGGGCAGGAGGGAGAACAAUAUUUACCAACAAAAAGGAUGAAGUUGGUUGGAUUAUGUUUGAUGAAGAAAAGGAAAGGGCGGUCAGCCUUAAACUCUUCAAACUCAGAAGAUUGUUUGAUGUCUCCAAUCACAUCUGCUGAGCCAGCCAUCUCAGUGCCCUCUUCAUUGACUUCCAUGUAUGCCAUAUGGACGGCCUCUGAUAUCUUCAGAUUCUUUGCUGAAGAGAUGCCAGACAGAUCAGCUGAAGAGCUGAACAGGGCCAUACCUGCUCCAGACCAGAGACAUCAUCGGGCAACAGCACCAGCAUGCUCAGCUUUCCACUGGCAUAUGGCAGCUCCAGGAUCUUAAUUUUCUCUGAAGGCACAAUUCCCAUUUUGAAGGUACUGUUCUGA